UGGGGAAUAUUGCACAAUGGGCGCAAGCCUGAUGCAGCCAUGCCGCGUGUAUGAAGAAGGCCUUCGGGUUGUAAAGUACUUUCAGUCGGGAGGAAGGUGGUAAGGUUAAUAACCUUGGCAAUUGACGUUACCGACAGAAUAAGCACCGGCUAACUCCGUGCCAGCAGCCGCGGUAAUACGGAGGGUGCAAGCGUUAAUCGGAAUUCCUGGGCGUAAUGCGAACGCAGGCGGUUGAUUGAGUCAGAUGUGAAAUCCCCGGGCUUAACCCGGGAAUAGCAUCUGAUACUGGUCAGCUAGAGUCUUGUAGAGGGGGGUAGAAUUCCAUGUGUAGCGGUGAAAUGCGUAGAGAUGUGGAGGAAUACCGGUGGCGAAGGCGGCCCCCGGGACAAAGACUGACGCUCAGGUGCGAAAGCGUGGGGAGCAAACAGG
rnacentral:rRNA from 1 species